GGAUGUGAGGGCGAUCUGGCUGCGACAUCUGUCACCCCAUUGAUCGCCAGGGUUGAUUCGGCUGAUCUGACUGGCUAGGCGGGUGUCCCCUUCCUCCCUCACCGCUCCAUGUGCGUCCCUACCGAAGCUGCGCGCUCGGUCGAAGAGGACGACCAUCCCCGAUAGAGGAGGACCGUUCUUUGGUCAAGGGUAUACGAGUAGCUGCGCUCCCCUGCUAGAACCUCCAAACAAGCUCUCAAGAUAUGGAAUCAACCAAGAUGUCCACUGAUGUAUGGAUGGAUAAAGAAAAUCUAGUCCACACACACAAGGGGAUACUUUUCUGU
rnacentral:snRNA from 1 species